GCCCGAGGUAUUAACCCCGACCGUUUCCUUUCCCUAUNAAACAGUUUUACAACCCCAAAGGCUUCUUCCUGCCACCGGCAUUGCUGGAUCAAGGUUGCCCCCCUUGUCCAAAAUUCCCCACUGCUGCCUCCCGUAGG
rnacentral:rRNA from 1 species